AGAGAGAGAGCGAGAGAGAGAUCGCACUCAUUGUGAUGCACACGACAUGCCAUCUUUCAGGCAGCAGCCAUGCUUUGCAGCAUUGCUCUCUCUUUCUCAUCUGGAGCGUCAACAUCCACGGCCGGGAAUACAUUUUUUUUAGCUUGUGUGGUAGUAGUUAACAUGGGGGGUGGGGGGGUGGGGCAAACGGACGGAUAACCCGACGCUGCUCCGGUGCAACAUGAAGGAAAGAUAGGACUUUUACUCUUUGCAAGGAUCUUUUUUUUUUUUGCUUCUAAAUUUUUUUUCUCGGAGCAAUGAAGCAAGAUUCUUGUUUCUUUUUUUUUGGGGGGGGGAUUGGAGUCGAUGGCGAAUGGAAUGCAGCAAGAGGAUCACUCUCUCUCUCACACACACACACACACACACACACACGCAGACACACACACACACGCACACACACUCACACACACGCACGCACGCACACACACGCACACACACACACACAUCCGGUCUGCGGGUUACGUCUCUCCGUGUUCACAGCGGACCUUGAUUUAAUGUCUUACAAUUAAGGCACGCGGUGAAUGCCAAGAGAUGAUCCUCCUUGUCGUCUAUCGGAAUGUAUUUAUGUCUUUACCUUUUCGAGACAAAUAAAUAUGUUUUAAAAACA